rnacentral:rRNA from 1 species
GUGGGGAAUAUUGGACAAUGGGCGAAAGCCUGAUCCAGCCAUGCCGCGUGUGUGAAGAAGGUCUUCGGAUUGUAAAGCACUUUAAGUUGGGAGGAAGGGCAGUAAGUUAAUACCUUGCUGUUUUGACGUUACCGACAGAAUAAGCACCGGCUAACUUCGUGCCAGCAGCCGCGGUAAUACGAAGGGUGCAAGCGUUAAUCGGAAUUACUGGGCGUAAAGCGCGCGUAGGUGGUUUUGUAAGUUGGAGGUGAAAUCCCCGGGCUCAACCUGGGAACUGCCUCCAAAACUGCAUGACUAGAGUACGGUAGAGGGUAGUGGAAUUUCCUGUGUAGCGGUGAAAUGCGUAGAUAUAGGAAGGAACACCAGUGGCGAAGGCGACUACCUGGACUGAUACUGACACUGAGGUGCGGAAGCGUGGGGAGCAAACAGGAUUAGAUACCCUGGUAGUCC